GUCUACGGCCAUGCCACCCUGAACAAGCCCAAUCCCGUCUUAUUUCGGAAGCUAAGCAGGGCCGGACCUGGUUAGUAUUUGGAUGGGAAACCACCUAGGAAGACCAGGUGCUGUAGGCA
rnacentral:rRNA from 1 species